CGCAGAUCCGAAGUCCUCCGAGAACCGCCGCACCGUCCGCCUCCUCAGCUCCCGGGCGUCCAUCUCACGCGCCAUCAUUGCCCUCUGCGACGCGGUGAAUAGGCAGUUCCCGUCUGGCAACACCUCUCCCCCAUGAGAAAGCCUGAAAACCACCGAUCUCAGCAGCGAAGAAGGCAGCGUAGAGUCUUUAUUACCAUCCCCGGGAUGCUUCCAAAGCACGCCUUUGGUUUGAAGUUUCUGUAAAUGGCGCCUCUGCUGUUCCUCCAGGCCAAUCACGUCCUCCCACGUGGUGGUGGUCGUCGUCAUUACACUCUGGUCUACGAGAUCAACCCCUUCGUGAGAAACCCCAUUAGGGUCUCUCCAAUGGAGGACCGGCGACGAGGGUUGAAAUGUUGUUUCGGCGACGGCCGUUGAAUCGCAUAGAAGUUUCCCCAUUUGACCUGUCCUCUUUUAUAUCAAGAAUCAAGAAAACAAAAAUUAAAAAUUAAAAAAUAAAAAUCCGUUCUUUUCUUGAAUCUUUCUCUCCUUCAAUGGUAGAGAGAGUUGCAGAGACCCCCAGAGAGAGAGAGAUUAGGGUUAACGGAUA
rnacentral:misc_RNA from 1 species